rnacentral:rRNA from 1 species
UACGAAGGGGACUAGCGUUGUUCGGAAUCACUGGGCGUAAAGCGCACGUAGGCGGAUGUGUCAGUCAGGGGUGAAAUCCCGGGGGCUCAACCUCGGAACUGCCUUUGAUACAGCACGUCUCGAGUCCGGAAGAGGUGGGGUGGAAUUCCUGGUGUAGCGGUGAAAUGCGUAGAUAUCAGGAGGAACACCGGUGGUGUAGACGGCUUUCUGGACCGUAACUGACGCUGAGACACGAAAGCGUGGGUAGCAAACAGG